CUCCGCUUGGUGUAGUUGGUUUAUCACGUUCGACUGUAAUAUUACUUUGUAAUCGAAAGGUCCCUAGUUCGAUUCUGGGAGCGGAGA